CAGAAAAGCACACUCACAUGACUUGGUAAGAUAACAGCAUGUUCCUAAGGCCUUGGAUUAAGUUGUAUGGUCCACGAGAGCUAAACAGAGUAAAGAUAACUGGACAUGGGGAAACAUAACCCUCAACUGGCCAUGAAACAAAAAUCACAGGCACUUCGAAAAUGGCAAUGAACAAGAGAUAAAAGUCCCUCCAUCAUGAAGCUUAUGACAGUUUAUUGCCAUG